CUGGGAUUUCAUUUUUCAUUUCAUAUGCAUGUCUUAAGGAUUACACUGCAACUCUUAUAAACGCACCCUCGCAAAAUAGGAAAAUUAGGUUUUGAUCCAAACAAGGGUGUCUCCCGGUCGUCUUCGUCGCCGGCGUAAGGGGCAGCCCCUCGACACAGCUCCACCGCACUAGAGGUUGGAGGAGAACAGUGCCAAGGCUACCACUUGAAGCCACCUUCCUUCUCGGCGAAGAAACUUCUAAGUUUUUGAUUGCUACAACAAGUAGCACAUCGAACUCGUCGAUAUGCCAUUGAUCCAAUGAGCGCCAGCCACACAUCGCCGAGUAACUUGGGAUUCGACGCCACAAGCAGCACCGACAACCCCAAUCACCAAACGACAGAAGCAACUGAAAAGGGGAAGAAGAUCACCCAAGCAGUUGCAAUGAAACCACCCACCCGAUUUCAUAAGGACAAUGGUAAGCAAACCUUCUCGGAGCCAUGACGGAGAAGACAAUGACAGCGGUGCCGUCCCUGAAGAAGACAAGGAAGGGACAAAAUAACUCAUCGACAAGAUAUAGAGCUCCUAUUGAAACACCAGAUUUGGCGAGGAAGCAGCACACAAGCCCUUCACCAUUGCUAGAAAGCACACCAGCGAGGUGGAGAAGGGGCCAGCGGAUCUUAUUUUACUAACGACGGCGACACCUUCACCAACCGCUCGCCACCGAGCCGUAGGAAGCCUAGAUUAGGGACUAUAUAUAACGGCCACCUCAAUCCCCGUUCCCCAUCCCCUCCAGCCCCAAGACGGUUGCUGGAGUAGAGGGGAAACGAAGGAUUGGCAUCAGAUCGGAGAAUUUCUCCUUUCAUCCUCUCUCUCAACUGUUACUCUGGAAAGGUCAAGAGGAAGAAGACGGAGUUCGUGGCCGGUUGUACCAGGUCAUCUUCAGGGUGACGUAUUUGGAUCAAACUCGGGCAAUCCUAUCUGAAGAGGAAGAGAAGCUCGUUUUGAAGGAGAGCUGCCAGCAUUGGAAACCACGUCUUUGAUAUCUUUAAUAAUUUUGGGUGCAAGUUCAGAAACAGAAUUGAGAGAUAGUGUUAUGUUUCUCUUUUUCUACUCUUUUAUAAUGCAUAUGACAUGAUGCCGUGCUUAGUACUGCUUUUCUCUAAACUUUUGGCUGUGAGCUACAAUCUUGUGGUAGCUGAGGCCGGUCGGUUUCACUAAUCUAAAAAUAGACCGCUGGCCGCCCUGGUAGGGUAGGAGCACCAAGGGGCAAGGACAGGGGCAGAAGCGAGGCACCACCAGCAGAGACAAAGUAGCAAUGAGCACAUUGAACGGCUGGAAGAAGAGAAUUUUUUAGUAGCCUUUGGAUGGAAGACACCAAUGACCAAGAAAUCGAGGAUUCUGCCCUAGCAAAAUACUCGACUAUACGCAGACAAUCCCUUUUGUUUUGGUCGAUGCUAUAGAUAAUAACAAUAAAGAAGAACCUUGUGAUUUUGUGCGAUUCAAAUUUUAGUCGAGCGUUUUGCUGAAGA